rnacentral:rRNA from 1 species
UACGAAGGGGGCUAGCGUUGUUCGGAUUUACUGGGCGUAAAGCGCACGUAGGCGGAUCGUUAAGUCAGGGGUGAAAUCCUGGAGCUCAACUCCAGAACUGCCUUUGAUACUGGCGAUCUUGAGUCCGGAAGAGGUGAGUGGAACUCCUAGUGUAGAGGUGGAAAUUCGUAGAUAUUCGCAAGAACACCAGUGGCGAAGGCGGCUCACUGGCCCGAUACUGACGCUGAGGCACGAAAGCGUGGGGAGCAAACAGGG